rnacentral:rRNA from 1 species
UGAGCUAACCAUGGCCGGACAGAACUCAUUUCAAAAAGAAUGACGGAGGGGUCGAACUCGUGUAUGUUGCAUAAUACUGGGGUGAGCUGUGGUUUGGAGUGAAAAGCUAUUCGAAUUUGGUAAUAUCUGGUUUUCCGCGAAAGCUAUUUAAGUAGCGUUUUUUAUAAUGUUUGUAACGAAGGUAGAGCACUAUUUUCAUUACGGGGGCCAUAGCCAAUUGUAAUUUAUAAAACUCCGAAUUGCGUUAUUAAAAAAUAAAAAAAACAGACAUAAAGCGGUAAGGUUUUAAUGUCGAGGGGGAAACAGCCCUCAUUAUUUGUUAAGGUUUUAAAAUUAUAAUUAAUUAAAAAACGUAAUAAAAUUUAAAAAUACUAUAUUAAAAUAAGGGAUAGACCUAGCAGCGUUCGCAACAUUAAAAAACAGCGUAAUUUCGUAUUAUUUUAAAAAAUUUUUUACGACUAAUGUACAGAAAUUAAAUUAUAUAC